GAUGAAGAACGCAGCGAAAUGCGAUAAGUAAUGUGAAUUGCAGAAUUCAGUGAAUCAUCGAAUCUUUGAACGCACAUUGCGCCCGCCAGUAUUCUGGCGGGCAUGCCUGUUCGAGCGUCAUUACAACCCUCAGGCCCCCGGGCCUGGCGUUGGGGAUCGGCGAGGCGCCCCCCCCGGGCACGCGCCGUCCCCCAAAUACAGUGGCGGUCCCGCCGCAGCUUCCAUUGCGUAGUAGCUAACACCUCGCAACUGGAGAGCGGCGCGGCCAUGCCGUAAAACACCCAACUUCUGAAUGUUGACCUCGAAUCAGGUAGGAAUACCCGCUGAACUUAAGCAUAUCAAUAAGCGGAGGA
rnacentral:misc_RNA from 1 species